rnacentral:rRNA from 1 species
CCUACGGGUGGCAGCAGUAGGGAAUUUUCGGCAAUGGGGGGAACCCUGACCGAGCAACGCCGCGUGAGGGAAGAAGGAAUUCGUUCUGUAAACUUCUGUUAUAAAGGAAGAAAGACGGAUGGAGGAAAUGACAUCCGAGUGACGGUACUUUAUGAGAAAGCCACGGCUAACUACGUGCCAGCAGCCGCGGUAAUACGUAGGUGGCAAGCGUUAUCCGGAUUUAUUGGGCGUAAAGCGGGAGCAGGCGGCAACAAAGGUCUGUGGGAAAAGAAUGAGGCUAAACUUAGGAAAGCCAUAGAAACUGUGGAGCUGGAGUGCAGAAGAGGAUCGUGGAAUUCCAUGUGUAGCGGUGGAAUGCGUAGAUAUAUGGAGGAACACCAGUGGCGAAGGCGGCGAUCUGGCCUGCAACUGACGCUGAGGCCCGAAAGCGUGGGGAGCAAACAGGAUUAGAUACCCGAGUAGUC